rnacentral:rRNA from 1 species
GAUGAACGCUGGCGGCGUGCUUAACACAUGCAAGUCGAACGAAGAUGCCGGAGUGCUUGCACUUUGGCCAGACUGAGUGGCGGACGGGUGAGUAACGCGUGGGUAACCUGCCUUAUACAGGGGGAUAACAGUUGGAAACGACUGCUAAUACCGCAUAAGCGCACGGUAUCGCAUGAUACAGUGUGAAAAACUCCGGUGGUAUAAGAUGGACCCGCGUCUGAUUAGCUUGUUGGUGAGGUAACGGCCCACCAAGGCGACGAUCAGUAGCCGGCCUGAGAGGUUGAACGGCCACAUUGGGACUGAGACACGGCCCAGACUCCUACGGGAGGCAGCAGUGGGGAAUAUUGCACAAUGGGGGAAACCCUGGAUGCAGCGACGCCGCGUGGAGGAAGAAGGUCCUCGGGAUU